CUGCUUCCCCCACUGGGGCCCUGUAAUCACCACACAGUGACUGACUCAGCCCUUCCUUCCCCUCUCAGCCCCUUCUUCCUGGAAACCAUCCACAUCAGCCCCAGCCCCCGUGGGCCCAGAGGGAGAGAACUGGAAGCCGCCUUCUCCAAGGGAAGCCUUCCGAACCCCCGGUUGAUGUCAAGUCCCCAUGUGGCACCCUCGGAGAAACCCUGGGCCACUGUCGCGUCCGCACCACUGUUAACUGAUUCACCCGCACCCCCCACUGGACAGUAGCCUCCAGCGUCUCCCCAGAGUGCCUGCAACAUAGAUUCCCCACACGCCGCACAGGAUUUCCAACGGGAGAGGAGCGUGGACGGGACGAUUGAUUCUCCGAGCCCUCCUGCCCCUGACUCCUAGCCCUUCCAUUCCCAUCCGCAGAGGUCAGGGAGGCAAUGUUCUUCGUUCUACCGGGAAAAAGAGAGAGCGGAAGAAGAUUUAAACUCAGAAGUUCUCCUCAGAAUUUACUUUUACUUCUCCAAAAGUUGUUUCCGUGUCUGAUAUCAAGUAGAAAAA